AAACAAGAUGGCCGCGGCACUCCGUCGCGGAAGUAGAUGAGAGCGUCUUCGUCACAUACGCAAGAAAGGACAGGCUACAGUGCGCAGGGAUACGCCGGGAGACAAAUAUAACGCGGAGCGAUUUGUCAGAAGCUAAAGUCUUUAUUCGUGAAAGCCCAGCGACUACCUGGAACUACGUUCUUCGUCACCGAAAUCCGGCCAGAACUGGAUUUAGGAGACCAAGUGGGGGGUCUGAGUACUGGAAGACGGAUUUUGUCCUUAAGCGCUGCACAACAAAAAGGCAAGGCUGGACAAGGAUGAAGAAGAGGUGGCUCGAGAGGACAUGAGUUACAUGUGUGGGUUGCAAAUGCGGAAGAAGUGGAUGUGGGGGUGUUGCUGCAGGUGCGGAGAGAAGGAAUGGAAGUAAGACAGGAGAAUAAUGAGAAAGGAGAAGACCCUCAGUUCACCUUUCGCAGACUUGCUGUUUCGUGGAUUUUUGGAGGACGACGACACGAACAACAAGGAUACAAAAACGCUACAGCCAAACGACGCCAGGACGAAGUGAAUACGAACGAACCUGCGACUGGUACUUCACAGCAGGCAUACACUGCACCUUUGCCAAGCCUUCCAACCACAAAUCUUAAGGUGCUCUAAAUAUUUCCAUGCAUACCUGCAAUGGAAUGCAAAAAAACGGCUAUAACUGGUGGUUAACACUUUGUAAUUCUUUGGUUUUGAAAAUUGCUAUUUGGAGACCUGAUACAUUUACAAUAAUCCUUUGUUUAUCGCAAUUAAUUGGUUUCAGACCCAGCCAUAAUAAGUGAAUUUCCGCAAAGUAGGAUUCCUUAUUCAUAAAUGGAAUAAUUUCAUAGAGUAUAGAAAACCUGUUUAUGACCUUCUAAAUAUGUUUUUUUAAACAUUAUUUGAGUCCCUUAAUCAUGACAUAACACCCUUUUUGUCACCUUUGCACUUGUAUUACCCAGUAUAGUAGAUACAAUCAGAGAAAAGAAGAAGACAUCAAUAAAACUUUUGUGUCAAAGUAAAUGUGUUGAGGACAGCAAGUAGCGUUGGGGGUUCAGAGUUGAGUUUUAGCUUGGCAUGGGUUAUGGCCGCAACCUUUAACCUUUGUUAUGAUGAUGAUGAAUGUAUAAUUCAA